UACAUACUGCAACGGCGUGUGUCCACACUUUACACUUUUGUUAUUUCUUUUCUUGACCGUACACUCGGAUUCGUCUUACGUCCUCGUCUAGACGAGAUAAUAAGACCAGCUAUGGUAAUGGGAUUCCGUUUGUGAGAUCCGUCAGCAAAAACCGUUUGACCAACAUCAUAGGAACAAUGUGCGGCUCGCAUUCUUGUUAAAAAAAAAGGAUGACAAAUGAAGCACGAAAAAUAAACGUCCACGAGUGACCGUUCACUCUGCUUUGUUCAAGAAAAAAAAAGAACGAAAAUGGAUCGACUCAACUUGUGUACGUCAACAUACGAACUCAUUUGCACACUUUUUUACUAACCGAUUUUUUGUCGUCAACAGAACUAGAGUUAUAAAAAAAAACAACGGCGGAAACGUUUGAUGAUAAUGCUUUCCAGAUUAUCCUGGCUCGACAAAGUCGCAGCCUUCGAACAUUCGUUCGAUUGUUUCGUCGCGUGCAACGCUCGUACGGGAACGAUGCAAAUGAUCGGUGCGGCCAUCUAGCGUAACGACUCCGCACCAAUAACGCUCAACGCCUUUUUUCCUCUACUACGCUACUCAACCGAGUUCGCAGAUUAAUUCCAUCGGUUAAUUUAUGCAGUGUUCAACGCUCGCGCAGCUUUCCAUCCAAAUUUCAUGCACGAAACGGAUGAAUACAUUUCUAUGUUGGGAUUGGCUUUCAAAAAUAUGUAAAAAAUUUCUAUUCCCAGGUUGACGAAAAGAAUUUCGUGACGGGGAAAAUCGACUACAGUUGUAUCGAUGAAACGGAAUCGUUGGAGGAAAGAAUCCACUCAUAUUUUAUUGCCAAUUCAAAGUUCAUGGAAAUAUUUUUUUUAAAACAGCACUGUUGGCAAAGAUCGAUCGACAGUCAUUCGAAAAACAGUCCGAGCAAUAGCCACAUACUCGCAACUGCGAUGAAUCGACGCGAUCAAUAUUUCCAUGUUUGAAAAAUGAAAAAGAACAACAAAACUGUCACAUCUUUCGCUGAGACUGCGUUUAUUAGAGGAUGGUGAAAAAAAAAGAAUAUUCAUUUUUCUCCACGUGUUCCUACGUAAUCGCGACGUUGAUGGCGCCAAGCUGGCGAAAAAUAAAUUUGACACGUAACGUGAGACGAUAACGCUGAAGUCGUCCGGUGUUGGUUCACGUUCGAAUGUCAAUUUUGCAGAAGAUUAACGAUCAGGAGGAAAAGUUGGUUUAAAAAUAAAUCACUCACCUCUGCCGCUAAUACUGUGAGCUCGGUAGCGAGAAUUAUCCUUGAUGGAGGAGUUCAGUGAACAUUGCGGCGCAAAGUCCGGGUCGUCAAGGUCAAAGGAGACACUCUCUUCGAACUCGGUAAGAGCAUUUUCGUACAUGAUUCUGUUUGUUCGAGAUCGUUUGUAAUUUUUAAAAUUUUAUCACUUCUUUACGGUCUCUGAAACAUUAGAGGAUAAAAAAAUGGAAUGCUAAUGAUUUAUCACAAAAUUGAAUAAUCUCGAUGGGAAAUAUCGAUUAAUUAAAUUUAUUCCGAGCCUCUCCAUUAAACUCUUUGUAGAAUGGAUCAAACGGAAAGAAUAGCAACGGAAGAAAACUGUACGAGCAUGCGUGUUUAAUUAAUGGACAUUUCUAAACUUGUAAAUCGACUGCUAUCGUAUAACUAAGGUCGACAUCGAAUGUCAAGGUCGUGGAAAGCGUUCCGAGACCGGGCUCGGAACGUCGGUGCGUUGCGAAUUCAAUAGAAUCGUGAAAAACCGUUAUUAAAUGAGAAAUUGAAAAAAAGACUUACCAGGAGGUUGAAAAAAAUCUUGCCAACGGAACGGUCGAUCUCGAGUGCCAUAAACACGCAGUUUUUAUUUAGCUUUGCAAAAACGUAUACUUUCUUAUCGCACUUUGUGCAAAGAGACACUUUAAUCGAACGAGGUUAUUUUAGAUAUUUUUAUAAUUAUUCCUCAUUUCCUCGACGUUUUUUUUCACUCUAGAGAUCAGAUAAGAAAAAAAAGAUAAGAUUGUUACACCAACUGAAGAACGCGAUACCGAACAUUUCGUGUUUUUUCUACCGUUUUCGAAUAAAUUGUUUUACGGAAUUUUUGCUCGUAUUUAUAUUUGUUUUUUUUUUUUUACACAAAAGAGAACUUAAAAUUGCAUUCGCUUAUAGUACACUAAGAAUAAUAUUUAUCGUGUCAACGAGAAAUAAAAGUGAAAAAAUUGAAGGUUAGCUAAAAAAAAAUAAUUUUCGUGAUUAUCUUCACUUCUUCCACUAUCGUCCAAUGUGCUUCUCUCUAGAGCUACGCGCACGAAGCUCUCGCGAGUCAAUGUAUGUGUUACCGGUACGAGGACGCAGCGUGAAAUGUUCGACGAGAAAAUUGCUACUAUAUGGCGCCCCGGUAACAAAUGCACCGUGGCCCGAAGCUCGAACGAUUACGGGAAACGAACUGAUAACAUCAGUCGUCCACAGUCAAAACAUUCUUUGGUUUCGAAGAGAACUGUAUUUCCAGUGCGGAUACUGCGGGUCACAUUUCUAAAACUCCCCACUCUCCCGGUAUACAUAAGUGAUCGCUCGCAAAACAGAAGAAUGACACUCUUUGUUCUGCAGCCCCAGCAACUACAUAACUACAAUAUUAAGAAGAAAGUGAAGAUCACCGUGCGUUUUGCAUUCGAUAGAUUUCUUCCAAUUUCGAUGAUAUAAUUCGUGAGAUCUUAGCAACGCUUUUAUCGCUUUGUAUCAAAUAGUGUUCAAAGAACGAACAAGAAUCAUAUUAUCCAAACUCAUUCGUCGAUACUUCAAUUUUCAACUGCCAAGACAUCGGAAUACAUCAGUUGUGAGGAUUCGAGAAGUGAAGAUUGUCGGAAAAGUUGCGAGCAGUUUACACCAUUGACGAUGGAACACAAUAAGAAUGGUCGUUCACACAAAGGAUUUCAAAAUGUCACGGAAUAUCAUAUCACUGGAAUUACAGUUGAAGAAUUCUUGAGCCGCUAUCAUCGUUCCCCCACUAGAUCUUCACCAAAGAAAGUGCAGUGUGAAUCCAAGAAGACAAUGGAAGAAACAAUGCCUAAGUCUAAGACAGUUGAUCCCAAUGACAGCACGUCGAGCAACCCACCGCUAUCGAAGGAUUCGGCAAGGGCUGAAGAUUCUUUGUAACUGAAAGUACAGAGCUGAUUCUAUCUAUGUCCGGAAAGGAUCCUAAAUUUUAACGCCACCAUGAAACUUUGUUGUCUCAGCCAAAAUGACAUUAUUUUCUUUUAUAUUCAAAAAAUGUAUCCAACGAAAACAAUUAAUGGUUGAAUAAAGUAAAAUCAAAAGUA